GAUGAACGCUGGCGGCGUGCCUAAUACAUGCAAGUCGAGCGAACAGACGAGGAGCUUGCUCUUCUGACGUUAGCGGCGGACGGGUGAGUAACACGUGGAUAACCUACCUAUAAGACUGGGAUAACUUCGGGAAACCGGAGCUAAUACCGGAUAAUAUAUUGAACCGCAUGGUUCAAUAGUGAAAGACGGUUUUGCUGUCACUUAUAGAUGGAUCCGCGCCGCAUUAGCUAGUUGGUAAGGUAACGGCUUACCAAGGCAACGAUGCGUAGCCGACCUGAGAGGGUGAUCGGCCACACUGGAACUGAGACACGGUCCAGACUCCUACGGGGGGCAGCAGUAGGGAAUCUUCCGCAAUGGGCGAAAGCCUGACGGAGCAACGCCGCGUGAGUGAUGAAGGUCUUCGGAUCGUAAAACUCUGUUAUUAGGGAAGAACAAAUGUGUAAGUAACUAUGCACGUCUUGACGGUACCUAAUCAGAAAGCCACGGCUAACUACGU
rnacentral:rRNA from 1 species